ACCAAACCAAGAGGAAACCUAGCCGCGUUCUCCUCUGCGGCACGCAACCUUUGUCCCCCUCUAGAUAUAGAACAACACGCCUCGUCCACCCAUACCUCUACAAGUCAGAUCUAGGCCUGACCUGUAGUUUCCUGACCGUGCUCGCCUCGAUCUCGGGGUAAGCUGAAUUCGGCGUCCAUGAUUUGUUCCGAUCACCCGUUUGUUAUCUGAUUCCCAGGUUUGUCCUUCUGAUCGGCGAGUUGGGGCUUGCGGCGAUCUUGGAGAAAAGACGGGAGGCAAGCUGGAUCUGCCCACGGAAGCUUCCGAUCUGCCCGGCUGGCGUCUCAGAUCUGUUGCUGUUCUGAUGCUUCACGGCGGAUCUGGUUUUUCCCGGCGGUCUCAAGUCGGCGCAGCGGCUGGCGGCGAGUUUUCCGGCAAGCACGUGGGAUCCCGUCUGCUCCUCUACCUCGUGCGACGACGGCCGACGGCUCUUUGUGUUGAUAAUUAUUCGAUGAUAUGUCGGUAAUUAUUAGAUCCAAGAGAUCGGAGGUGAUGAAAGGUAAGAAGAUGUAACAAGCGAGGUGCUUGUGGAGAGGGCGGAGAAGAGCGGAAAAAAAAGAGAUGUGAACAUCUAGAGGCCUUUGCCAUGUUGGGUGCGCUCGCAUGGCAGGCCGCCACCAUAAUAAAGAUGUUUUUUUUGUCUCGGGGGGAGAUCGCACGGGGGUUAUCUUGUUUUAGCCCCGGGUUCUCCCCCCUGUGUGCUGGUGUGCUCCUUUUGUCUGCACCUCUCGUCCGAUCCGACUACAUGGCACAACAAUUCUACCGUCGCGAAUCGAUCAUGGAGCUACAGACGAAAGAACAAAGGUACAAUCGAUAAUUUACAUACAGCUGAACCAUAUAUAAUCAUUGACACCACAAAUUUCAAUACAUACAAGGAUUAUCUUGAAUCCAUACAAGUAACUUUGGUAGAUAUAGAUAUAGAGAUUGUGUUGACACAUCACCACAAAUCUGCAACCAACUACAGCAGUCCAGCCUAAACAAAUUGUUUGCAUGCGGAUUUACAUAUUGUUGUAACAAUUCGAGUAUAUUUGGAUUCUUCACUCAGAAGUUGUGUUUAUUUGUAUGAUAUUCUGUACUAAAUUUAAGUUUAAUUCUCCCUAUAUAAGGAUUUUUUAAUAAGAAAUUCAUAUUAGACCCCUUUUCUCUGGUCUCCUGCUUCAUAUUGUAAUCUGUCUUACGUAAGAUACAAUUUAUGUAGCUUGAACAGCUGUAUGUGGGUCUUUGUAUUACCCAAAUGAAGCCUACAGCUAUACGCAGGUGGACACAUCUUUCUCGUUGGAGCUUGAAGAGACGUGAGAGCUCUAUGAUUCUGGAGAAAUCUGCCGAACACAUCUUACCUCAGGGAAUACCCGCUGGGAGGCUGGUUUACAUGUACUUGCUUACUAAUCUGGAUAAUCAUUUAUUAGAGCGCUAUUUUAAUCAGUUUCGCUACAUAUUAUGGUGAACAUUACAUCCAUUUGUAUCAGUUGGUUAAAGAUAAUUAGAUAUUUAUUAUAUUUGUGGAUAUUCUCCUUGUUGUAUGAUCGGGACAAUAUACUGUUUUAGAUGAUUCUCGUUUUAGAUUCGAUCCUAGGUUAAAUUUGAGGAUGCGGCUGAUGAAAUUAUUCCAUACUGUUCUAUUUAUGAUUACGGUUAUAGAUUCAGGUAACAAUUUAUGAGGCGUUUGCUUUUUUCUUUGGGUGUUAGAUCUGGGUGGGGUUGAACUUCGUAAUUCAAAUUUAGCUUAUUUAAUAAUAUGAUAAUAUGAUACGUAUUUACUUGGUCUAAUUUCUGAUAAAAUUAUGCACUCUAAUUUCUGAUAAUAAUAUGAUAUUACUCUUUGUAAAAGAAUUAUGCAUUCCUUCGUUGCUAGCAUACAAAGCAAAAUGAGUGAAUUUACACCCUAAAAUAUGUGUGUGUACAUCGGCAUGAAGUAAAAUGACUUGCAUUGAGAAAUGGAGGGAGUAAUUUGUUUACUUUUUUGGAUUUAGACAGACCAAAUCUCUAAAAUUGAUUCAAAUUGAGGGAAGGAGGGAGUAGUUUGCUUAUUUUUUGGUUUAUGCAGACCAAGUCUGGAAUUACUCGCAUAAAAUGGAUGUAUUUAGGAACCAAGGCAGUUGUUUGGUUAUUUUUUUUUAAUGUACACAGACAAGUUUUGGUGUGUUUGUGUGUGACUUGAUGUGUAUUAUUUGCGAACGGACAGAAUAUUAUGGAGUAAAUAUGCUAUUUGUGCUGAUAGCUGUUGUGGAUCUUAUCUCUGUCUGGAGAGAUUCUCUGUGGAUACUGAUCGUAUGUUCAGAUCCCGGAUGAAAGGUGGUUCAAUCCCACCAAGGUUCUUUAGCGGUCUAAUAUUUGAGCACUUCAAUCUGAUUGUUUGGUUUACUUUAUGUUAUGGUUGUGAAAAUAUUAUUGGUAGUUUUUGAAUCUUUUGUUUUUGUGUUGCAGGUUAUCGUACUUUAGAAAUAACAAGGUAUUGGGGGAGUAGGGCGAAAAAAAGCCCUCAAACAGCUAGUACAAUCUAUUGGGGGAUUCCAAUGAAACAUCCCAACUCUCCCACGUACUAUGGAAAUACGACCAGACUGCAAAUGCUAUGGCCCACAAACUGAAUCAUCAACUUGUCUCUAAUCGUAAGUGUUGGACGGGGAAUUCAUCAAGGUUCCUUUAAAUAUGAUUACGAAGUCCAUUGUGCCGUUGCCAACCAUUGGUGGAGAGAGAACAUCACAUGCAAAUGGGACAUGUAGUUCCAUAGUAUUGUCACAUUGACAAAUGGGACAUGUUGGUUAUGUCAACAAACGGGACAUGUAGGUCAGAUUGAGUACUUUCUCCCUUCAGUACUUUUUAGCCAACAUGUCCAAAGUCAAAGUAUCUCUAUUUUGAUUUCAUAGUAUUGUUGAUAUUAAUAUUUUUUAAUAUAAAUUGGUUGAACUUUAUCUUUUACGUGGAGUAAAAAGGAUGGGAGAGAGUAAGAAAGCAGCACACCUGUAAUUAAAUCAUUGAGAGCCCAGUAACCCACUUAGAGGGUUUUAUUGUUAACCUCUUCUAUUGUAUACCUCUUGGUCUGUUGGACAUAUAUUUAACUGAAUCAUUUGAAUAUGAAAUGGUUCAAAAGACUAGAUCCAUAUUAGUUGUUGCUGGUCUAGUAAAUAAUAAUACUAGAGUAGGAGGACUUCGUUUUUUCUUGUUUUUUUGACCUUUUCUCUACUAUCUACGGUUAAAAAUUACGUGGUGGGUUUACAACUGCUGGGAUAGGUCGGUUUGCAAGAAGUAUCUCCACAUGGUCCAACCGCUUAUCUCGUGGGUUCCUUCAUGUGGUCUUGCCACCGCCACGGGCCUCCUCCUGUCACCGCUAAUUUGCGACGGACGAGCACUGGCUUGGCUCAUCUUGCUUCUACCUUAGAAAUCUAAGGAGAAAAUUCUCCCUGCCACAUAGGGCUGGUCGAUCAGGGAGAUGCAACCCUGCACGUCAUGGUUUCCGGCGGCGAAAUCAUCCACAUGGGAGAUGCUGGGAUGCGGUCGUUGGUCCAGUAGGAGGUCACAUGAUUGGGUGAUGUGUUGGGAUUUCCCUUUUUUCUUCAUCAGUACAGGAAGAUUGCCUUGCUAAGGAGGUCUCCUAUACAUGAGUUCUGUGAGAAGGCAAUCAGACGAGGAGUGAUUAUUUUGGUUAUUGCUGUGUGGUAUGUUAAGUUUCAGAAAUGGGGGCUGCCACACACUCAUGCUCAUAUUUCACCGGCCCUGUUUUUCCUUGCCACCAUUGGAUUUGAAGUAACAAUUAGUUAGUGGUGUUCUUCAUGUUACUGUUAUCUCUAUGUAUUCUUCUUUUUGAAACAAUCCUUUUAGAAUCUGGUAUGUGAUCUUGCUUUAUUAGAUAUUGGCAAUUUGCAUUGCCAUUUAGCUGUUUUGACUAUGCAGUAGCGCAAAGUAGAAAUUGCUUUUCAUGAUGUUUCGUGGUAGGUGUAUUUUGUUCCUUUCAAAAAAAUUAGUUCUAAAAAAUUUAGAUAUGUCAUGUUAAACAUGGUUAAAGUGAAAUGCAUUAUCCAGAAGCGAAGAAUUUAUUAUGCAGCUGCAGUGAUAUAAUAAUGUUGGCCACCCUAACCGUACUUUUUCUGUGGGUGCUCAGUUCAUCUGGAGUGAAUGACUAUGGAUAUACUUGGCUUUAGAAAGAUAUUUUUGGUAUAAUAUUUGAUUUAAUUUCUCUAGGUAUUGAUGCCAUUAUCAGUACGGAUGCCUUUAGUGGCGUAUAUCAGCUGGUUCUUUAUUAUUCUUUGCUUCUUUUGAAAUAUGGCAACCUUCUACUCAUUCCUCGCCAUGGUUCUUGACGGCAUCACCUAAACUUGCAUUUGUGAUGACCAGAGUAGGUGUUUUUCCUAUAACUUGGUGUAUUUUAAAAAUGCUCAAGGACAACUGAACCAUGGUGUAAAAUUUUAUGGCAUGAAUUAUAUUUUUUACAAUAGGGAAAUUUCAAACUUUUUCCUUUUUGUUACUUCUGAACUUUCAUGUUAUUUCUCUCGCUAUCCAGUUCAUGAAUUCCAAAAACAAUGUCUGAAAACUACUCUGCUGGUUCAGAACAUCAAAGGAGUUACCUGACUUGAAACAUUAGUCCAUGGUCUAUUCGAAUGGGUUUGGAUUGAUUUCUUGAUUAUAGGAACUGAAGGUUCUGAAUAUGAGAACAUGUCCAAUGUUCAAGACAAUGAGAUUUCACAAAUCAUACACAAUUCUUAACACACGAUGUUUUGCUAGCCGAGAUAAGAGAAGACAAAACACUUGAUACACUGGAUGAAGCGGAAUUGAUGCUGAUGCAAAAGAGAAAUAGACUGUUGUCGUAGAUGAUAUUGUUGCUUUGAAGAGGGCCGUCUCUGAUAAUCAGCGAUAAGAGUUUUCCAUCUUUUAUAAGAUCCAGAUGCUAACUCUGGUAAAAUGAAGCUCAUAUUUCACUUCAUUAGGAAGCAGGCCAAGUUGAUUGCACCACCUGCUAAUGCCAUGGGCAAUAAUUUUCCUCAAUCAUCGUUUCUACAGUGAGCCACAAUAGUUAUAUAUGCAAGUGUAUUUGGAUCAACUUAUAUGAUGCAUCCUCACUUCUUUUUUAUCUUCAAGGUAAUGGCCACAUUUUAUGGACAGACUAAUCACAUACAUCAUUCACGCUGACUUUAUACUUAAUAAUUAAUGCUAUGUUUUGUUAAACUCAUACGACUAGGUUGUUAAACGCCUUCUGGAUGCAG
rnacentral:rRNA from 1 species